AUUGAACGCUGGCGGCAGGCCUAACACAUGCAAGUCGAGCGGAUGAAGGGGGCUUGCUCCUGGAUUCAGCGGCGGACGGGUGAGUAAUGCCUAGGAAUCUGCCUGGUAGUGGGGGAUAACGUCCGGAGACGGGCGCUAAUACCGCAUACGUCCUGAGGGAGAAAGUGGGGGAUCUUCGGACCUCACGCUAUCAGAUGAGCCUAGGUCGGAUUAGCUAGUUGGUGGGGUAAAGGCCUACCAAGGCGACGAUCCGUAACUGGUCUGAGAGGAUGAUCAGUCACACUGGAACUGAGACACGGUCCAGACUCCUACGGGAGGCAGCAGUGGGGAAUAUUGGACAAUGGGCGAAAGCCUGAUCCAGCCAUGCCGCGUGUGUGAAGAAGGUCUUCGGAUUGUAAAGCACUUUAAGUUGGGAGGAAGGGCAGUAAGUUAAUACCUUGCUGUUUUGACGUUACCAACAGAAUAAGCACCGGCUAACUUCGUG
rnacentral:rRNA from 1 species